AUCGUAAGGCCAAUUCAAGAGUUGAGAAUAUUUUAUUUUUAUUUUUUUUAUUUUUUUUCAAAAUUUGCGAAGGGUUAUCAAACGAAACGUUUCGAUGAAACGAAACGUUUCAAUGAAACGAAACGGUAUACCGUGACCGUAAGCUUUCCUUUAUUCCUUAACAUCCCAGUUUUUCAUCAAGACGAGACAUCAUCUUCAGGAGUGCAUCCCAGUUUUUCAUCAAGAUCAGACACCAUCCUCAAGAGUGCUGCCUUUUCUUUAAUAUUCAUCGAUUUUUUGGAUAUUUUUCAUUGGCGUUUGCAAGUUGUCCUUGAUGAUCAUUGCAUCGUAAAAAGCAUCAAAAACGGUCUGAGAUGCUGUCUUGAUUAGAUCCAUCUCGCUGAUAAAGAUUUUCUCCGCCUCUCUGCCCCUACGCGCGCAGUAAGCCUUCCAAUUGGUCAGGGUGGUUGGCAUCUUGCCUGCUACGGGAUUCAAUUGGCUGUCGACGCGAUCUUCCAUACUCUCGAGCUGCAAAACAUGACGUCAUAAAAUGAGAGGUAUUGGGUACAGUUUAACGGUGUAGUUUCUUACGUGGUGAAUCACGUUUAACAGCACAAGCAUGAAGCAAACACUAUCAGAAGGGUACAAGUCCACAUUCGGCAAAACGGAGAUGAUACACUUUUCAAGCGGUAUUUUCCAAGCCGUACCCAAAUGAUUAAAGAUGCGAAAAAAUGGCGAUGAUUAAUUUUUAAAAGUCCACAAGAACCAGUACCCUCUAAAGUUUUGAAAAUUUAAAACAAAAAAAAUCAUUAAAACUGGACAGAUGAAUUCAGUCAAAGCUCUAUAUUGAGAAUAUAGUGAUAGCCCUCCGUUCAUAUUAACUGUCCUCACCUGAAAAUAAAUUUUAAAUUGACAUCAUUAAAGUGUAAGCGCAUAGACAAAUCAUGCAAUCGGCGGAUUUAACCCAAAUCAGCCUAACUGUAGUUGGGGCCCCAUGGCGGCCCUAAGCCCACACCAUGAAAUGAGGAUUCCUUGAGGUCAAUUCCCAAGUCACCCCCCCCCCCCCGUUGUAACGUCUCGUGCUAGAAAAAAGGCUAAUAGGGGAGGUAUCGAUCACCUUGUGUGUAGUAAAACAAAUUUAAAUAUUUUAUAAAUAGUAGCUCUGCUACUAGAGUUGUAAUGAGUCAGACUUUUGGUGUAGUAGUCGCGAUUCUUGAAGGUUGGCAACACUGUAUUUUAUCCAUUUUUUGUGUAAAAUAAUCGAUUCUUGGUGAGACAGCUUUGCCUCACCGAAAAUAUAUAUUUUUAAUGGAUUCUAAUGGAGGAAAGACAGUGUUGCCAGCUUUCAAGCAGCGUCACUGGUUCACAGAAUUCCUUGGAUGGAAUUGAUACGAUCGACUUAUUUCGCUUUACCUGAAUUAUGAGUUCAUCGAGCUUUUUGAAACCGGGAGCCUGUGAAUAGCUGUCGGUAGAGUCGGUCAGUUUGGCCAAUUCAGGAUCUGAAGGUGGAAAGAAAUCUACAAAUUUCUUAACCGUUGCCUGGCGUUCGCAUAUUUUCUCCUGGGCUUCUUUGUGGGUUUCCAGAAUAUUCUUCUUUGCGUAGUCCAAGGCCCGAGCUAGAGCUUUUUUCACUGGGAAGGGCAAAACAAAAAACAAAAUCAAUCGACUUUGAUCGCGACGGAGAUCCAGAUCACGCUCCCAGUUGUGUUCUAAAAUUUUGAAUUCACU
rnacentral:lncRNA from 1 species